rnacentral:lncRNA from 1 species
GCAAGCUCUACGUCUUGGGGGCCGCAUGGUGCCGAGAGCGCAAACCAGACCCGCCCCGCCCCUCCGUGCCACGCACGCGCUCGGCUCCGCGCUUAAUGAAGCAGUAUCUGACUGUGUUGCCCAGGCUGGUCUUGAACUCCUGGUCUCAAAUGAUUCUCCUGCUUUGGCCUCCUAAAGUGCUGGGAUUACAGAGUGUCAGGCCUCUGAGCCCAAGCUAAGCCAUCAUAUCCCCUGUGACCUGCAUGUAUGCAUCCAGGUGGCCUGAAGUAACUGAAGAAUCACAAAAGAGGUGAAAAUGGCCUGUUCCUGCCUUAACUGAUGACAUUACCUUGUGAAAUUCCUUCUCUUGGCUCAUCCUGGCUCAAAAACUCCCCCACUGAGCACCUUGUGACCCCCGCCCCUGCCUACCAGAGAACCCCCUUUGACUGUAAU